rnacentral:lncRNA from 1 species
CUUAACUGAGUCCUGAGUUUAAUUAGUUCCUUAUGUGCCUGGUGUUUUUCUGUUUUGCAGUUCAUUCUGUACAGCCACAGAAAUGAAUAAUAAAAGCUGAACUAAAUCUUACCAGAGAAACACAACAGGAUUCAAAAAAAGAUGUACUUGAAAUCAUCAUUUAGAGUUGACAGGAAGCAGAAUUUACUCCAUCUUGCUCUUCAGAAGACACUUAGUGGACAGCUCUGUGGCAAAACAAGGGUGAAGCAAAAUAUAAGCUGCAAAAAGUGGAAAACUGAAGGACCUGACAUCCCCUCCAUCAUUCUCCAGGCCUGA